rnacentral:lncRNA from 1 species
CGGACCCCGCCCCAGGCCGCUCGGUCGCUUUCCUCCGCGCAGUUGCCCACAGACCCGGAAGUGGAUCGUGCGGAGCAAGCAUCACACCAUGGCGUACGAGUGUUCCUCUGUGUAGACUCAACCUGCGCCUCGCCGUCCCCCAUUCGCACACCCGAUGCCCGGGGGUCGCUACGGACUUAAAAUCUCCGCACCGCACCCUCCACCUCAGGAUUCCACGGGAGAUGAGUGAAUAAACG